GCUUACUCCAUUAGAUUUUAAAAGAUCUUAUACCAUAAGCUGAUUUAUUAACCCCUGCCAGAAGUGACUAAACUAUCAAUUGGUUUGCUCAGAAUUUUUUCAUAUUUGUAAAAUAGAUAAUUUUAUCAACUCUUGUACAAGCUGGACGAAGGAAGAGAAUCUAAGAUAGAAACAGGCACCACCCGUAUCUUUUAAGAAAGUUGAUCAAUUAAGUCAUAUCAUUAAGAACAAUUAGGUCCUUGGGACAGAUGCAGUGUUGAAAAUCUGAAUAAUUUGGGGCUUUCCUUCUGAAUUUAGCAGAGCAAGCUCUCUCUCUCGUAAUGCCCACAUCCUUUACAAUGAUAAUCUCCCUUUUAACCUUAUAUAUAAAUUUCUGAAGAGGCAUUGAUUUUGAAUCAUUAAUUAUUUAGAGAAAGAGAGCUCUUUUGUUUCCUUUCAUCUCGGGUAUAGGAUUUUCACCUUUGUCACUAUCAACAGGUCCUGGAAGCAUAAUGAGCACACUUGACAAGCCAGGACUUUGGGAUGAAGAAGAGGCUCCGAACUUAGAACAGAACCUCCACUGGCAGCAACGCAAAACACGUGAACACAGAGAAUUCGAUCAAUAGUUACAGAAACACACAUAAAACCCCUUCUUAACCCUGUAUUCUCAAAUGCCAGAAAAUAGCAGAAUCCUCAUUCACAUUCCCCCCAUCAAAAAAAGAUUCCUGGGGGAAUCCGAUUCCAGAAACCCCACCUGCUGCUCUGGGACAGACAUCGCUCGGUGGUGGGGCCACAUCCCAGUCCCGCUGCCCCUGGUGUGGGCCUAAGUGGUUGUGCUCCUUUAGAACCAGAAAUGAACUUGGCCAAGAAUCAGAUUGGGCUCCAUCACUUCACAGAAGAUUCCCCAGAGGAGUCAGGGAGGGUGAGCUGAGGACUCCAGGGCUCCAGGUCUGGACAAGGUGCACGUGACCUUGACACCAGUGGUGGGACCUCUAGGAAUAAGUGGUCAAAGCAAGGACCAGACACCAACACUUUUAGAAAAGGGAAGAAAACGGUCACUUGUGGAAAGUGUGAGUGAGUUGGUUUUCUGAUGACCGACUGACCAAAUACAAAGGACAAGUAUUGAAAGGGGAAUGUGGAAAAAUGACCAAGAUUACCAUGUUUACACCAUUCUAUUCAUUGUGGAAAACAGCAGCUUUCUCACAAAUGAUCGUCAUACUCAUAACAGACCCUCGGAUUUCAGCACAGCAAAACUCAGGGAUCAAACAUUGUUUUUGUGAGGAAUCCAAAUUUCUGGGAAGUAUCAAGGCUUUUUAUUUGGGGGAACCAGAGCCAGUUAGGACAGCCCUGUUGGUUUGGUUUUUUCCUCUUUUUCCUGACUGUGAUCUAUGAAGUGCUCAGUCAUAUUGGAAACGGGGCACAAGGGGCACCUGGCUGGCUCCAUUGGUGGAGCGUACGACUCUUGAUCUCGCAGUUGUGAGUUCGAGCCUCACAUUGGGUGUAGAGAUUACUUAAAAAAAAUAAAAUCUUAAAAAAAAACAAACAAACAAGAAACUGGGCCCAGGUUCCCCUCUUGCUCCUGUGGUGUUCACAUAUAUUUGGUAAAUUAACUAAAGUUCACACUUCCUCAUAGAAUUAUGAAAAUGGGUCUUUCUAGAGAAGCCACAUGAAGAUAAUGGACAAGUGAUUGUGCAGGUCCCCUCAGCUGACCUGUCAUCGGCCUCUCGGACCCCUGCCCUGGCCCAUCUUGUUAAAGAAGGCAUGAUCACUCUGGCUCCUUCGGGCAGUUCCCCGCCAGUGGUCUUGGCUGGCUUGCUCCCUCUCCCACCUCCCUCACCUCCACGGACUCCUCAGAUGGAUGUGGUGCCUCCUGGGGGCAGGGGUUGUGUCUCCUUCCACUGAACUGCUCCACCGCCGUAUUGGUGCAGGAAUCUGACUCUCAACAGACCUCUUCAGCCCAAGGACCGAGGUCUCUGGUAAAUGUCUUCGGAUAAUGAUGGUGAUUUCAAGCCACUGUUUUGAGGGAUGUCUUGAAUACAGACGGUGUUUUUGGUAACCCUCAUUGGGCUUCCCUUCCUGUUCAGGUGACAAUCAUACACUCCCAUACACUAAGACAUUCUCCCCCUUCUCCUCUCCAUUCAGAUAUCCAGAAGUUAAGUACGAGUUAAUGAAACACACACACACACAUCCUCUCACUUCCAUAAGCUCUAAAUCCCAUCUACUAGUGUGUGGCUCUGACCUGUCUAAAUAGCCCUUGUCAUCAUAAGCCAUGGUCUCCUCUCUGGCAUUGUUUAUAAUGCUGGAGAAAGGAAAUGCCGGUAAUAUACAAAAGCAGGGUCCCAGUGACCCCAACCCCAUGCUAUGCUGUGGUAGAUUCAGAGAGGAACCUCUCACUCCCAUUCAGCAAUGCCACCUACUGGCCUUGGGAACAUUAUUCCACUCCUUUGAGCCUCAGUUUCUCCCCAGGAUUGUUGUAAGGAUUGAGUGAGACAUUGUACGUCAGGCUCGGAUGCAUCAGCAGAUGUGCAGCAGGGGCUCAUUCCCUUCCUUCUCCACUCCCCACCUCACCUUCUGGCUCUUCCAUGGCAUUUCCAUCUUCUGCCAUUGAGAUGCUCCUGGGGGCCCUCCGCUGAGCACUGAAGUUGAGGAGCACUUGGGCAGAGCUACAUGGAUCUCUUAUGCCAUAGCCAGGAGAUGAUUCAGAGGAUAGUGAGAACUUCCUUUAAGGGCUUCCAACACGAAAAGAAGCAAUGAGAGGUUUCUACAGAGCUUCUGUCUUAGGGAUCUUAAGCCCGAAGCCCUUUGGCUUGAGAUGACAUAAGAAGGUCCCUUCUGGAG